rnacentral:rRNA from 1 species
GAUGGACGCUGGCGGCGUGCUUAACACAUGCAAGUCGAACGGAAAGGCCUUGUGCUUGCACAAGGUACUCGAGUGGCGAACGGGUGAGUAACACGUGGGUGAUCUGCCCUGCACUGUGGGAUAAGCCCGGGAAACUGGGUCUAAUACCAUAUAGGACCACUUCUUGGAUGUUGUGGUGGAAAGCUUUUGCGGUGUGGGAUGAGCCUGCGGCCUAUCAGCUUGUUGGUGGGGUAAUGGCCUACCAAGGCGGCGACGGGUAUCCGGCCUGAGAGGGUGUACGGACACAUUGGGACUGAGGUACGGCCCAGACUCCUACGGGAGGCAGCAGUGGGGAAUAUUGCACAAUGGGCGCAAGCCUGAUGCAGCGACGCCGCGUGGGGGAUGACGGCCUUCGGGUUGUAAACUCCUUUCGCUAUCGACGAAGCCACCUUGGGUGGUGACGGUAGGUAGAUAAGAAGCACCGGCUAACUACGUGCCAGCCGCCGCGGUAA